CCUGGCUGGCUUUCUGCGCUCCAGCUGACAGGACAAGCUCUGGGGUUUUCAUGGAGUGUUGCCAGCCGGAAGGAAGCUACCCAGUGCAUCUCCCAUCUGGAUGUGACUGUCUCAAAGUCCUGUAGUAUGGGAACAUUGACAUUACUGUGAAAAAGCCGAUACCACUCAAAAACAAAGGAGCCAAUCAACUCAGAUGGCCUCGUCUCCCACAAGCUAAGGAUUUAGAUUACUGUUGCAAGUCUGCUUUGGACAUUCUGUUUAUUCUGAGAAGAAAUACCCUGUCUGGAUAGAAGAGACCCCAUCUAAAGAGCCCCGGACUGAUUCUGACCCAAACCCAAGGGUUUAAGUGGAACCAAAACAUCCGAAGGAAUCCUGCCAGGUGAACAGUGACAUUUUAGGAACUGUUGAGCUUUCUUUCCCUUUUGAAUGUGCCCUCUCUGUGUAUAUCAUUCCUAGACACCUCUUAGGUCUACCUCGUUCUCAGGCUCCCCUAGAGCAUUCAAAGGCCCUGAAGAGAUUGACCAAAGGAACUUAAGUGGGAAAUAUCCCUGAGGUACCCCUUACUAGGUUGAUGCAAAACUACAUCCAUUUGAGAAUUUUUCUUUCCCCCUGGGAAACUAGUAAAAGAGGCUGUUUCCCAUACAUGCAUCAGGAAAGGGUUAACCGUUUCUCUCGGGUCCUGAGCCAAGUCUGUCCCCUACCAGUUCCCAUAACCGGGUUUCCUGAAAUGGAGCAGGUCCCAGGUGCCUCUCCACUAAUCACAUCCUUGGAAAUGGGGCCAGGAAGCUCAGAUUAGCUCAUCCCUUCACCUUCUUGAGGCCUUCUCCACCUGGAGCACAGAAUCUGGGGCAGCUUCUCUACUCACCUCCCUCUGCUUCCCUAGCCAGGGUCAGACAGGGAUGUUCUCACGGAGGUAUGUUAGGUUGUGGGGGCACUAGAGGCCACAGUGGUGCUAACUCUUGUGCCAAUUCUUGGACUACAGCAUUUGUCCUUCCUCAUUCUAAUACUUAUGGGCAAAGGAAAGAUUCUCCCCCAAGACAAUACUAGAGUUUGUAUAACUAGAGUAUUUUUUCUUCACCCCUCUUCUCUGUUUUCUUCCUCUACUUCUUAGAAUGACUGACUAUGAUACCAGAUAGCUUCCUGUUUUUCCUGGCUGACAAUCCUCCUGUGUACAGAGUCUGAUUCCUCAUCCAUCAGUAGCAGGUUCUGGGGCCAACCCAGGAGAUUUCAUUCCUUCCCUGUUAGUGUCUAAUUUCGACUCUUCCUUGAUAACCAAUAAAAUCUGUAUCACAAAGCUUGUUCUCUCUAAUUGGCUUUUUAACUUUCUCUCUAGGCAGGUCUGGAUUUGUCCCACUAGCUGAUGUCCACUGUAAGGGAGGUAUUCUUUGUGCCAUAGAAGCCUUGGAAAUGGAAACAGCAGUGUAAUCUGGUCACACAUGACUGAGUAAACCUAUUGAUCCAAAGGCCAAAUGAUCAAUUUUGUUUGAAAGACAAGUAGGCUAACUGGGGAAAAAAAGAUUCUUCUUCUAGGAGCCCCAUUCAAGAGCACACUUCCUCCACAUGUUUAGUCUUGGUUCUGUCUUUGCAUAACUAUAGUACUCGAAGGACUUGACCAGGGAUGUUGGUGUAGGGAGUCUUUAAAGCUAGUAAUAUGGAGCCUUGGUGGAGCUGAUUCUCCACUGAUCUCUGAAGUUGACUUGAUUUCAUCCAUUCUAGCUUUAAGGCCACUACUGUCUUCUGGUUCUGCAACUUCCCUUCUCACCAGCUAAAAAGAAGCUAUGGGAUCAAAAGUCUAAAAGGGUGAGGAUAUCUGAAAUUUUUCCUAUUUUACCACUCACUUUCAGUGUUAUGUUUCAGUUUUCCUCAACUAAAAUAGGAAAAUUAUCCCAGGAAUAUAGUUAAAAUAACAUCUGUGAAACAAUUUGAGAGCCUUAGAAUCUUUUUUUUUCAAGAUUUUUUUAAAUUUUUAAGUAAUUAUACCCAACAUGGGGUUCGAACUUACAACCCCAAGGUCGACAGUUGCAUGCUCUACCUGAGCCAGCCAGGAGCCCCUAGAAUCUUUAAAUUAGAGGAAAUCUUAGAAGUCAUUUAACCUGGUAUUUCCCAACCAGAGGAAUAAUUUUUUUUUUUCCCAAUUCAUUUCCUUUAUCCCCAACCCUCCUCCUGAAAAGCCUCUCUCUUCCUUCUUCCUCAACCCCUCCUGGUAUCCAAGGUAGAGAACUGAUCUAGUUUGCACAAUAUAUUUCAUGUGCUUAGGGUUGUGAAACAGUGCCCUAAUUCAGCUCCCUAUUUCAUGCAAUAGUCAUUCCAACAGUCCCAACAAGUUGAUAUCUCGCUUUUACUUGAGUAACUCAUGUUGGGAAAGUUGCCACCUCAAGCAACCCAUUCCAGUUUUGGACAGCAGUGGUUUGAUAGGGAGUUUUUCAUUAUUUGAACUGGAACUCCCCCACUGUAUCUUCCACCCGUUGGUCCCAGCUCUGCCCUUUGAAACCACAGGGAAGUCGUCUAAUCCCUUUAUAAAGGGCAGAAGGGAAUACCCAGGAUUGUUAUUGUUAACCUGUCACAGUAGUUCAGACCUGACCUGAAUGAUUGUAUUACAGAUGUCCUGUGCUCUGUACACUAGCUAUGUUCCUAACACAUUGUGUAAAUCUAGUUGUGUGUGAAUCAAAUCAUUUUAGACACACUGAGACGUUGACUGUCUAAAAGAAACCCUGUUACCUGUCCUUUCAUAAACUGAAGAACUUUGUUGUAAUGCAAAGAACCUCCCCAUUACACUUUUCUGCAAAUCUA